rnacentral:Y_RNA from 1 species
GGCUGGUCAAGUGCAGUGUGUUUACAACUAGCUGAUCACAACCAGUUACAGAUUUUUUGGUUUCUUCUCCAUUUCCACUCCUUCAUUUGACUAAUCUUAC